rnacentral:misc_RNA from 1 species
CACCCGAUUUGAGGUCAAGGGUUCGUGGGGUCGAGGGAGCUUCCCGAGAAGGGAGACAUGCUCGAACAUUGUCUCGAUGCAAGGUCAAGACGGUUAGAAGCGGGUCCCAAAAGUGACAGAGCCAGAAACCAAGACAUGGAAACAUCUUAUCACACGUCGAGGAUCGGCAAAGAGGACCCUGCUAAUUCAUUUAAGAGGAGCUGGCCUUCAAAAGAGAGAGGUUCCAGCAAAGGCCUCCAAAGUCCAAGCCUGCCUUUGGUCUCCAGAAGAAACCAAGGAGGUUGAGGUUUUCACGACACUCAAACGGGUGUGCCCCUCGGAAUACCAAGGGGCGCAAGGUGCGUUCAAAGAUUCGAUGAUUCACUGAAUUCUGCAAUUCACAUUACGUAUCGCAUUUCGCUGCGUUCUUCAUCGAUGCGAGAGCCAAGAGAUCCGUUGUUGAAAGUUGUAUUGAUUGCGUGUUAGCGCAUAAAUGAGGUCAUUCUACACUUUUAAAAGGGGGGUUUGUGUGAAAACGCGAGCCCCCUCCGAGAUGAUCCCAAAGGGUGCCCACGCGGCGAUGCACAAAGGGUGAGAUGGAUUAUUAUGUGAGAGGACACACUCGGGCGUGCACGACUUUGAGUCAGCGACAGCCCUCACAUGCCCCUCACAUUUUGUACGAUAAUGAUCCUUCC